rnacentral:rRNA from 1 species
UAGGGAAUCUUCGGCAAUGGACGGAAGUCUGAUCGAGCAACGCCGCGUGAGUGAAGAAGGUUUUCGGAUCGUAAAGCUCUGUUGUUAGAGAAGAACGUUGGUAGGAGUGGAAAAUCUACCAAGUGACGGUAACUAACCAGAAAGGGACGGCUAACUACGUGCCAGCAGCCGCGGUAAUACGUAGGUCCCGAGCGUUGUCCGGAUUUAUUGGGCGUAAAGCGAGCGCAGGCGGUUCUUUAAGUCUGAAGUUAAAGGCAGUGGCUUAACCAUUGUACGCUUUGGAAACUGGAGGACAUGAGUGCAGAAGGGGAGAGUGGAAUUCGAUGUGUAGCGGUGAACUGCGUAGAUAUAUGGAGGAACACCGGUGGCGAAGGCGGCUCUCUGGGCUGUAACUGACGCUGAGGCUCGAAAGCGUGGGGAGCAAGCAGG